UUUAUAUGAGAGUUUGAUCCUGGCUCAGGAUGAACGCCGGCGGUGUGCCUAAUACAUGCAAGUCGUACGCACUGGCCCAACUGAUUGAUGGUGCUUGCACCUGAUUGACGAUGGAUCACCAGUGAGUGGCGGACGGGUGAGUAACACGUAGGUAACCUGCCCCGGAGCGGGGGAUAACAUUUGGAAACAGAUGCUAAUACCGCAUAACAACAAAAGCCACAUGGCUUUUGUUUGAAAGAUGGCUUUGGCUAUCACUCUGGGAUGGACCUGCGGUGCAUUAGCUAGUUGGUAAGGUAACGGCUUACCAAGGCGAUGA
rnacentral:rRNA from 1 species